rnacentral:lncRNA from 1 species
UGGACUCCUACGGGAGCCAGACUUCAUCCCCGACUUCAACCGCAAGGAGACUCCGUCCGGACUCCUACGGGAGCUGGACUUCGCCCCCGACUUCGAUUGCAGAUAGACUCCGUCCGGACUCCUACGGGAGCCGGACUUCACCUCCGACUUUGAUUGCAGGUAGACUCCAUCUGGACUCCUACGGGAGCCAGACUUCAUCCCCGACUUUGAUUGCAGG